UGGGGAAUAUUGCACAAUGGGCGCAAGCCUGAUGCAGCCAUGCCGCGUGUGUGAAGAAGGCCUUCGGGUUGUAAAGCACUUUCAGCGAGGAGGAAGGUGGUGAACUUAGUACGUUCAUCAAUUGACGUUACUCGCAGAAGAAGCACCGGCUAACUCCGUGCCAGCAGCCGCGGUAAUACGGAGGGUGCAAGCGUUAAUCGGAAUUACUGGGCGUAAAGCGCACGCAGGCGGUUUGUUAAGUCAGAUGUGAAAUCCCCCGGGCUCAACCUGGGAACUGCAUUUGAAACUGGCAAGCUAGAGUCUCGUAAGAGGGGGGUAGAAUUCCAGGUGUAGCGGUGAAAUGCGUAGAGAUCUGGAGGAAUACCGGUGGCGAAGGCGGCCCCCUGGACGAAGACUGACGCUCAGGUGCGAAAGCGUGGGGAGCAAACAGGAUUAGAUACCCCUGGUAGUCCACGCUGUAAACGAUGUCGAUUUUGGAGGUUGUGCCCUUGAGGCGUGGCUUCCGGAGCUAACGCGUAAUCGACCGCCUGGGGAGUACGGCCGCAAGGUUAAAACUUAAAUGAAUUGACGGGGUCAUAGCUGUUUCCU
rnacentral:rRNA from 1 species